UAUCUCUCCGUACGGGGAAGGAUGAGAAGCUUCGACUAAGGUUCGAUUCGAGCGCAGCGAGAAAGCGUUGCCGCAGGCAACGACCCGAAGGGCGAAGCGCGCAGCGCUGAGUCAUCCUUCCCCCA
rnacentral:sRNA from 1 species